CUCAGUUAUUUCCUGGUCCAUUCUACUGUUCUCCGCUGUGAUUAUAAAGUCUGACGUUUUAGUAGCCGUCUUCUCUGAGGAAUUAAAUGAAAUAAAAAAUAUCUGAAGUAGGAAUUAAAAUAGGAAUAAAUAUUUCCAGAUCUGGAUCUAGGUGUAACAAGAACAAGACUUCAUGCCAGUAAUAUGACAAGAAAACUAAAAGAGAUGUCGGCGAGAGAACAAAACAUAGCUGAAGAAAAAGAAAAGACAGAUGAAGCCAAACCUGAACAGGGUUUGGCUUCAUCAACAAUUAAAAGAGGAAAAGAAAAUGCCUGUGGAUUCAGAAAACAUCUAAAUCUGGAGCAGAAAAACAGUAUGGAAAAAUAUCGACCAAAGUUCUCUCUUGAUCCAGACGGACCUGCAGAGCGUCGCUCUGGUGAAGAAAAAAUCAGAGAUGAGAAAGCUGCAGUUUUUCUCAUCUAACCGGCAGAAUGUUCUUCACAUCACUUUCAGUCGAUGAUUCAGAAUUAGACUGGAAUAUAAAACACUAAUAUUUUCCACUGAAAAUGCUCCGUUUUUAAGUGUUCAUGACUAUAACUGUAACUGUACUGUGUACAUAUUUAAACUGAUUUUUGAUUUAAUACUGUGUACACAGGCAGACAAUGUUAAAUAUGAAACAAUGAGAUCCUCCUAUUUGAGGAUUUUCCUCCUAUUUGAACUAGUUCAUGGUAGCAGCUGCACAAGUUUUACAAGUUCUGUGACUUCAGGCACUUUAUUCUGACAUGCAAAUAAUUUUUCUUUAAACGUGUCAUUUCUUUGCUUCCUUUUAGAAGGUAUUUUUAUGUAAAGAACCUCUCAACUGGUGUCAAGUGUCUCGUUCAAGUGCACAAUGAUCUCUAUUUUUAAGUUGCACGGAGCACAUGAUCAGCAGGGGUUAAAUGUCUGUAUUAUUUGGAUUGUGUUGAACACUUUGUGUAGGUCAUGUAAGUGUCAAAAUGUAUUUACUACAUUAUAUUGCGUGUUUAUACCUGAAAGUGUUCUCAGUCCCAAAUUUAUUCUUAAAUGUCUAAAUGCCCAUGUUUUUUGCAAUGCUCAAUAAAUAUUUAAUUUAGCAGAGA